rnacentral:tRNA from 1 species
GCAGAUAUAGCUCAAUUGGUGGAGCAUCUUACUGAAAAUGAGAAGGUUGUAAGUUCAAGUCUUACUGUCAGCA